ensembl:lncRNA
ACACGAUAUUAAAUGGAUAAAAGUAAAAAAAUAAAUAAAUAAAUAAAUAAUAAAAAAGCAUUUUUAUCCUUCAGUGCAUUAAAACAUGAAUUGUGUAAAUUGUUGUGGUAUAAGAUGAAUCAAUCACUUCCGGACAUGCUGUUAUGGGAAAAUGACCAACAGGAACACACACACCAUCACACCACCCUGUCAGUGAUUAUUUUUUCUGCAACAGCACGAGACAGAGUGUUUACACACACACACACACACACACACACACACACAGAGAGGGGCUUCUUACAGGAAUUUGAAAUUUGCUUUCCUGUAAAUGCAUGACUUAACAGAUGUCCUGACAGAGCGAAAGUGAAAGUGAAUUUAUCAGUCUUCCUGUCUCUCUGCACCUAAACUGAUCCUCGACAGAUCACACGACAAACCUGGGCUUUCAUUUGACUUCAGAAUGCUUCCCGUACACAGUGUCUACCCUCUGGUUUUAGGGAAAACCAUGAACUCCGAUAAGCACUUUAUGGAUUGUCUCAGAUCCGAAAUGAAGCUACAUGAAGUGGACUCGCAGAAUGACUGUGAUGUCCUCAUUGCUUUCGUCCCGAUUGUGUCUCGAGCUGGAACGGACAUUCAAGCUGCUCUUGAAAGAAUUCCCAAACAUUCAUACAAGCGCGUCGUUCUGGUGUCUCUCCACCACACAUUCGAUCAGGAUUACAUCGCUCCGGACAGCAGACACUCUGUUCACAGGAAUGACGUGUUUGCUGUGGACUGUCUCUAUCAUGAAGACAUGGGACUGCUGAAAUCCCGAACCAAUGAUGAGGCACUGAAAAGAGUAAUAAAGCAUCUAGGAGGAGAAACACCAUAUAAGGUCUCUGAAUGGAGCCUGUUGAUUGUGAAUAAAAUGGGUGCGGACAAGACCGAAUUUAUUCCUUGGUUAUGUGCCGUGCUGAGCAGCCUUUGUUUAUACUUUGUUCUGCCAGAAGGGUACAGCUUCUUCCACUUCUUAAUUUUGGAGAUAUUGCUGCUGAUUAUCAUAUCUGUGUCCCUGAGUUACUACAGCAAGUAUCUCAAAAAUAGCAAAUACCACCUUGGGAAGUGGACUCUUUGGAUUUUUACUGGUAUGAACGUUGUCCUCAUACUUGUAUUUCAGAGUUCCACUAAGGAGUCUGUGCAUGAGUUGAAUAAUGCCACUGAACACAGUCAAAACAUGUGAUACGGAUAAUAUUGCUUUGCCUGAUAUUGUGGUAUGUGGUUUAGAAAACUUGUUAAUAUUAAAUAAACACUUCUCUGUUCAAUAAUAAACUAUAGGCAUGGGGACAAAAAUAUGUUCAUUUGUGGUUUUGUUAAAAGUUCAAAUUAAAAGAAGUGAAUUCAGGAUUAAUAGAACGAUUAAUUUAAGAUUAAAUUAAAAAUAAACUAAAAUUAAAUGAAAUAAAUCAAAUGAGUAAAAUACACAGUACUGUGCAACAGUCUUAGGGACUCUUUGUUUAGCAUAAUUUUGUUAUAGAUAUUUAUUUGAUGAAUUCUGCUUUAUCGAGUCAGUACAGAAACAUUUUAGAUCUCCAAACAUUACUCAUCCAAAAGUAUAAUGUUGCAGAGAAAUAUUUACGUUAGAAGAGAAAGCAACGUAUUACAUAAGAGACCACUUUUCAGAGAAAUAAACAUAAUGAAGGCGGCUGGGUUUUGCAUGCGAAAAAGAAGAAGAAGCAAACGUGACAGUCUCCAGAAGAAGUCAGAUUCUCCAAGAUGCUCAACAAAACAACGAAAGGAGCAAGAAUGUGUGGACGAUUGUCAAGGGGGUGUAAUCAGGGCAAGACUUAUGGAGGAAUGCUGAAAAACAAGAAAGUUCAGAAAGAACAAAACACCUCCUACCCAAGCAUGCAGAUCCAAGUGUCUACACCCAGGCUACACGCCACCAACACAGCAGUUUCCGAUCACGUGACCUUACCAGGAAAACAAAAAUCGAGAUAUUAAACGUAUGACAUUUGUUUAAUUUUAUCGUGUCAAGACCAGUAUCUCUAAACUAGCAACAUCGUUAUUUAUAACCACAAUAAACAUAACCACGUCAGCGUCUGUACGCUGUUGAGAAAAAAGAAUACUUUAGCUACACAAACUUGUAGAUAUUUUAUUUAAUAAAUAUUUAAAAUGGUCCAAAAUGAGAGAUAUGACCAAUCUUUUCAGUUGCUCUCCUGUCUGAAUGAAGAGAUGAGUAAGUAAAGUAGAUAUGCGACCAAACACUCUGAACAAAUCAUCUGGGAUGGAGAUAAUACUGCUGCAAUGAUCUACAAUGACAGAUGACAGACACCUGCAGACGGGUUCAACUGAUGUACUGAAGAAGAAGAAGAAGAAGAAGGCGUCUUAAAAUUUAUAAUUGUUAAUAUAUUUCUAUGCUUAAUGUUUGUAAAGUUUAUCAUGGUUUAUGAUAACCAUUAAUGUACUGUAUUUAACCAUGGGCAGUGGUAGCUCAGCGAUGAAGGUGUUGGACUACUGCUCAGGAGGUCGUGAAUCAAACCUCAGCACUACCACAAUACCUGUUGGGCCCUUGAGCAACUGCUCAGAUGUAUAAAUGAAAUAAAUCCUGAGCCCGAAGAGUGAAAGUAAAUGUACCAGGAAAUAAACAACCUGUGGUUUGCAUUUUGUCCACCAACGAAUUCAGUCCAGAGCGUGUAACUCGGCUGAGAUCCCCCUUCAAAAUGACCCAAGUCUUUCCAGCAACGAUCAGAGUUUUUGUCAAGGUCCUUGGGAAGACCAAGAAGUCCCACAAGACCUUCAUGGAGCGUCUGACAACUUCGCCGAAACUUCGUGAAGUGAAGUCGGUGAACGACAGUGAUGUCAUCAUUGCUUUUGUCCCAGUUGUGUCUCAAGCUGGAACUGACAUUGGAGCUGCAAUGGCCAAAAUUCCUCAGGGUAAGCCUGUUGUUCUCGUGGUGCUCCACCACACAUAUGAUCAGAAUUACAUCGCUCCGGACAGCAGACGCUGUGUAAACACAGACAGAGUGUUUGCUGUAGAUUGUCUCUAUCAUGACCAAGGUCUGCUGAAUUGCCUGCGCAAUGACGACGCAAUCAGAGCCGUGAAGAAGCACCUGAGAUGCGACGACCACAUUGAGGACGACUCCAUAUUUGAUUGCUGGUUAUGUGUCCUGAAGGAACCGAAGAAUCUCACUCGGAUAUUGAUUGGUGUAUUCGUUUGCCUUCUGAUCAUCCUACUGAUUAUAGUUAUAAUUAAGCUCACUUCAUUAAUGCGUUAAUUCACGAUUUAAAAUUGGAAUACAGAGUGCACCGGGGUUAUGCUAGCGCUUGUGUCAGAGGUAUACUCUAUCUAUAAUAUAAUGACUAUGAAGUACUUUUGAUGAAUAGUUUAGCACUGCGUGUGCUUUACACUGUGUGUUUGUAGGGUUUAAUAUGAAACUAUCUGUAUAUGUGUUAUUAUAUGACAGACUAUAGUAACAGAUUAGUUUAGUUAUCUUUCUCUUUAGCCUACAGCUGUUAUUUGUUGCUUUAUUAGACAUAGAUUUGAAAUAGAAAAACUAAAUUACAUUUACAGCUUUGUUUCCUUUCCUAACCCCAGUGGGUGAAUUGAAAUGGCCUCAAGAUUAUGUGUAGUCUAUGAAUGUGUGUGUGUGUGUGUGUGUGUGUGUGUGUGUGUGUGUGUGUGUGUGUGUGUGUGUAUUUGAUUUCUUUCUGUUUAUGUCACGAUAGGCGACAGUGUGCACAUAACUCCAGCAGACUUCUGCUGCAUUUCACUCAUUUUUAUAUGUUUUUAUUUUCUGCACCUGAUUUGUUCUUGAAUAUAUUAUAAUGGUGUUGUUUUGGGUUUUUUUUUUUUUUUUUUUUGCAAAUAAAAAACUAUUUGUGCCUCCCUUUCUGUUUACUCACUCACACUCACUCAGUCACUGAAUUUUGUCAUCUAGUCUAACCACACUAGCUAUUUCUGUUUAGC